rnacentral:tRNA from 1 species
UUUUAUUUAGUUUAUUACAAAAUUUAAGCUUGUCAAUCUUAAGAUAACUAUUAGUUAAUAGGGA